UACGUAGGGGGCAAGCGUUGUUCGGAAUUACUGGGCGUAAAGGGCGCGUAGGCGGCACGGCAAGUCGGGAGUGAAAGGCCUGGGCUCAACCGAGGAACUGCUUUCGAGACUGCCGAGCUAGAGUGCGGAAGGGGCAACUGGAAUUCCCAGUGUAGCGGUGAAAUGCGUAGAUAUUGGGAAGAACACCUGAGGCGAAGGCGGGUUGCUGGGCCGACACUGACGCUGAGGCGCGAAAGCCAGGGGGAGCAAACGGG
rnacentral:rRNA from 1 species